rnacentral:sRNA from 1 species
AUCGUUCUUCAGGGCGCGCAGGACCGACCAGCCGUCCUGAUGCGGCAUGAUGAUGUCGAGAAUGAUCGCGUC